GUCGGGACGGGAGGGAAACCACGCAGUUCCUGCUGGUUUCUCAGGAACAGGCACCCCAAGGCACAGCCUCCACCUGCACUGCCCAGCUCAGCAGUGAUCUGAAGAGGAGAUCCAGGAUGUCCGUGAACACUCAGUUUAACAAGACACUGGCUCAUUUGCUUAUGGGAGAGCUGGAGUGGACAAAGAUGUUCAGCAAACCAGCCGGAGUGGAGCUCACACCUCAGUGUCUGCACGUAUUGACCAGUCCUGAGCCGCACGGCCCAGCCGUGGUCAGACCGCACAUAAGCAGUGUGAUGUUUGUGUCCUCCUCAACGUUUCCACAUUGCAAUGGUCACAGAAACACAGAGCUGUGUUCUCCAGGUCCUCUUCUCCUCUGAAGGCACAGACAGCCCACCUUCAUCCAGAGGCAUCUGUCUGCGUGGGCUGGCUCACUCAGAGACCAGUCCUGGGAGUCCCCAGCUGGAGAGCUCGCAGAGUGAGUGCAAGCUGCUAUUCUGGCGUGUUCGUGCCGCAGAAGGUUUGGAAAAACACUUCAGAAAUGAACAAGCCUUCAAGACCAAAAGCUGCAGGAAUGACUUUCUGUGGCCUGGUAGCUCCCGACUUCAUUUCCACUCUUAGGUCAAAAGCCAGACUCCUUCAUUUAACUUUUCCACUCUUGUUUCAGAUUCAGGAACAAGGUAUUCUCCAUCCCAGCACUCACAGGUCUGCCCUGAAAGGUGCUUCUUCCGACUUCAUUGGAAACCAACAUCUGUCACCACUUUUGGCCACUUCAUUGUCCCUCAGCUGAAGCCAGCUCAGCCAUGUGCUGCGUUUUGCCAGCAGUAGUGGAGAUGAAGACCCAGAGACAAUGUCACAGUUUCUGGAAAGUAGCUGGGUCAGAUUCUCUGCAUUGCAAAGAAUCUACCCUCUCAUCUCCUAAUGUGAAUGCAUCUCUCUUUCACCCUGUAACACCUCCAUCUACUCUCAAAACAGGUGUGGACAGCUCUGUUUAGAGCUUAUAUGUUUUGAGCAUAUUUCGAAGUUGAGAUGGCCCCAUCACAGGAGUUGUGGCAAAUCCUUGAUUUCACAUAGCUCCUGCUCCUCUCCUGCUUUUCUCGUUCCCCCAAGUAAAAAAAAAAUAAAAAUCCCAGUAAAAACAUGUGUAAUAAAUGCAGAGCAGAGCCCCAUCUAUCACCCAGCCUUAUCUUUGUACUUCUGUGAGACACUUGGAAUGCCACCAGCUCUUGUUUCCUAUGUCUCCUAAUUUGGUGAUAUUCAAGUAAGAUAAAUUCCAGCAAAUUCACACCAUGAUACCCAAACAGUUUUCAUACAGCGAGGAUUUAGACUGUAGAGUUCACUGCCUUAACUGACCAUUCAGGCCAAAGAAUUAGCCAGAAUCCCACAUGGAGUGCACAUUUAUAGGGCACCAAGACUAUCUCAGGUCUUCAGAGUUAAUGAAACAUUGGGAAGGGUAGGUCAGUAGAGCUGAAGGUAACUUCUGACAGAAACCUGGUAUAGAGACAGAAGUUCCCCAUCUCCUCUCUGAUAAUCUCUCUGUAUCUUCCUGUGAAGCAGCAGCUUCUUCCUCAGUUCAAGAGCUCAUAGGCUAGAUAGUCCCAGUUCAGAUAAAUCCAGCCUCUGCCUUCCUACUCUUCUGAUGAAAGCUUUUACGGGGCUUGCUGCCCUUAAUCUUUGAAAGAGGCAUCUUUGUCCCAGCUUCAUGUCACUAACAUGAGUUAUUAAAAGCAGACCAGUAAGACUGCUUUAAACAAAACAUAAAUCCCUUGCUAGUGUUCCUUUUCUUGUCUCCUGUGAUCAAGCUGCUGCAGGACCCUGCAGACAAGAGAAGAGCUAAAUUUUUCAUAUCAAAGAACCCAGCAGAAUUGCAUGCUAACCUUUUCAGGCUCCUCUCGUCUGUCCUACAAAGCAAGCAGAAGACACAAGUCCAGAUGUUUUCUCCCUUGCAGGAAAGCCGGUCUUGAAGAGAAAAAAGAAAGCCAGGAACAGGUCUAGAUUCCCCCUGUUCAACUUCUUGUGCAUGUGGCACAUGGCUUGUCUCAACCAGCCCCCUACAUCUUUGGCCAUCCCAGAGGGCUCAGAUGACU
rnacentral:lncRNA from 1 species